rnacentral:lncRNA from 1 species
GGUCGGGCUAGGCUCAGCCAACGUUGGCACCGAGUGCCCGGGUCUGCUCUGCUUCCUGGUUUCCUGAUCAGGAGACAGGGGAUGCGAAGCCAGUAGACUUGGACAGAGGCUCCUGAAACACAACUCAGAGCUCUACUGGCCAAGCGACCCCUUGGACAUUCUGUGAGUGCCUCUGAUGACUCCCUCAGCUCCCCGACUUCUAGAAGCCACCUAUCGGGACCAAGUGGGCACCUCAGACCACCUAAGAGCCCAGAGGGGCCACGGCUCUGGGCAGCUGUGGAGGGAGAGAAGCUCCCAGAGUGCCUGGCCUGAGGCUCCUGGCUGAUCUGAUAAGAUGUGACAAGGCGGCCUGAAAAAUGUUGAAACCUGUAAAAUGCUGAAACCUGUUUUUUGCUGCGUUGUGAGCAUGGGGUGUUUUUUUUUUCCUCCUUCUCAAUUUCAUAGGAAAGUGGAGUUGAUCUGAGUGGAGAAGGGAGGGGGUAGGAGAGAGGGAUUGUCCCCUUCAGGCAAACCGAGGACCGUGGGGGGGUGGGGAGCACAGAGCAGG